rfam:Ovis aries breed Texel chromosome 18, whole genome shotgun sequence.
UCCCUGGUGGCUCAGAGGGUAAAGCAUCCGCCUGCAGUGCCGGAGGCUCAGGUUCAAUCCCUGGGUCGGGAA